rnacentral:lncRNA from 1 species
GCAACACCAGCUGCAAGCAGUGUGAAAGUGCAUGGCCACCCCCUUGUUUUCAUUGUUGUCAUUUUUGAGAAUAAAACAUUUAGUCUUGGCCUGUUAAACAGAAUUGCCAAAAAAUAUUUGUAGAUCCAGUCUUUUUCUCUGAAAUAGGCUUAAAAAAAUCUACUUCUGUUGAUGAAUUGAAGCUCUUCUAUUUUCUGGAAUUUAAAUGAUUACAAAUGAUACCCUGUGAGUUCAUCCUGAUUUCAUUAAUAACCAGAGUUCUUACCUCGGUAUCUGUCUGGGGAGGUGCUCUCAUCAAUGCCGAGUGAAUCCACACCACAAAUCUUCCCCUGAAAGCCUUCCUGCUGUCCUCCCUUCACUGACGUGGCUUAGCUUUUCUUAUCUUCUGCUGAAGCCUUAAUGGAAGACAAAAUCGACAGGCUAGCGUGUUCUGCUUGGCUUCUUUUCCUGCCCCCUCCUUCUUUGUUCCUUCUCUUCUUUAUCCUGCCUCAGUUGUCAACUUUAUUCAGUCUCUCCUGUUUAGACUUCCCAUCUGCUGCUGGCAGUGGGUACUGUCUCGGUUUCUGCGGAAAUCAGGAGAAAAAGCAAUAUUUAGUCCAUCUCAACUUUCACAGUUAUUUUCUUUCUACUAUUAGCUUUGAAGUUCCUACUUUCCUACCCUGAGUGUUGACAUCUUUUGUUUGGAGCAUAUUUGUACUACAGCUUUCUCUCUCCCCCUCUAAGUUAGCUCAUAUUAACCACAGCAUCCAGUCUCAUUAGCUUAUCUAUUGUAAAUUAUUUUCAACUCCCUACUCUAAACAAAAUGGGAGGCCAGUUCAUACUUCCUGACUUAUAUAUGUUACAACCUGUAUAAUAAACUUACUCUAUGCAGAUACCCAUUUCUAACUCUUUCCAGUGAAGUGGCCUAUUUAGGACCAUUUAAAACUAUAUUAGAGUCCUAUUUGCUUUGCCUUGAGAUGGUUGCAGUCACCUUAUUUUUUAGUACAUGCAACUAGCUUUCCUUGUUUUCUCUUUCAGAAUCUCGGAAGUAUAUUUUUUUAAAAAGAAAAGUAUUUUGAAAUUAUAACACAAAGCUAACUCCAUGUCAAAAAUAUUUGAAUAAAAAUUCUAUUAGAAUAAACAUUUGGAUUCUGUAAGACUAUAAUAUAUAAUAGUUGGAUCAAGGAGGGUGAAUACAUUUUGUGGAUGUUAUUGUGUGGAAGAUUAUGUUUUACUUUUUUAUUCAUGGUAAAAUUUUAAGGGGAAAUAACAACAAAUAUUUUUCUUUCCCAUUUAUUUCUAGUAAAAGUUAUGUAGCUUUUUUUGUUCCUGAUGGA